AGACUGAGAGUAUGUUAAUGGGAGGACUGAAGAGGGCACAGGUCCAAACACGUACAAAACUAGAUGUGAUGAAUUCCCCAGAUCCUUCAGGUUUAGGUUGUGCACUGCUUGGGGAGGAGGAAACCUUGGUAUCUCGUUUCAGCUGUUUGAAGUACAAAGGAUCUCAACCUGUUACCUGCUCACACAUUGAUUUGUAAUCAUGUAGUAACACUGUUACUAAAUUCA